rnacentral:rRNA from 1 species
GAUGAACGCUGGCGGCGUGCCUAAUACAUGCCAGUCGAGCGAACGGACGAGAAGCUUGCUUCUCUGAUGUUAGCGGCGGACGGGUGUGUAACACGUGGAUAACCUACCUAUAAGACUGGGAUAACUUCGGGAAACCGGCGCUCAUACCGGAUAAUAUUUUGAACCGCAUGGUUCAAAAGUGAAAGACGGUCUUGCCGUCCCUUAUAGAUGGAUCCGCGCUGCAUUAUCUAGUUGGUAAGGUAACGGCUUACCCAGGCAACGUUGCAUACCCGACCUGAGAGGGAGAGCGCCCACACUGGAACUGAGACACGGUGCAGGCACCUACGGGGGGCAGCCGUAGACAAACUUCCGCAAUGGGCGCAGGCCUGACGGAGCAGCGCCGCGUGAGUCAUGAUGGUCUUCGGAUCGUAAAACCCUGUUAUUAGGGAAGAACAAGUGUGGAAGUAGCUGUGCACGCCCUGACGGUACCUAAUCAGAAAGCCGCGGCGAGCUACGUG